AUUGAACGCUGGCGGCAUGCCUUACACAUGCAAGUCGAACGGCAGCACGGGGGCAACCCUGGUGGCGAGUGGCGAACGGGUGAGUAACAUAUCGGAACGUGCCCUGGAGUGGGGGAUAACUAGUCGAAAGACUAGCUAAUACCGCAUACGAUCUACGGAUGAAAGUGGGGGAUCGCAAGACCUCAUGCUCGUGGAGCGGCCGAUAUCUGAUUAGCUAGUUGGNGGGGUAAAGGCCUACCAAGGCAUCGAUCAGUAGCUGGUCUGAGAGGACGACCAGCCACACUGGGACUGAGACACGGCCCAGACUCCUACGGGAGGCAGCAGUGGGGAAUUUUGGACAAUGGGGGCAACCCUGAUCCAGCAAUGCCGCGUGAGUGAAGAAGGCCU
rnacentral:rRNA from 1 species